GUAUUUUCUUUUGAGGGGCAGUAAAUAAGAGUCUUUUAUGUUGACAAUGAUAAUAUUAUAUUCUACAAUCUAUUUGCAUUUCUCUUUCUGUGGAUUUUAUUGCUUGGUAUAAAUCCCCAGUAUGAGGCACAUUAAAUUUCACAUAGGGCUGGACAGCUAUGUGUACAAGAUGCUACCUGUAGGAAUUGGGUUUUUCCCAGAUAUGAAGGGGGAAUACACAGAAAGGAAGAAAUGCGUAUGUGCAUGCAGGUUUGGGCACAUGCAUAUGAAACCUGGAGGGAUUCUCUUUGGAUCCACAGUCCAAAUGGACUUCCAAGAAGGAGCUGGUAUGACCACAUGCUUCUUCCAUUGUGCCACAUGCAGCCCAUCUUGAUCAGCCAGGUUCUCAGGAGACUGAUCAGCACCUGCUGUAGCUCUGGCCAAAGCUGUUUUUGGGACCAUGUGAAGGACAGAAAACUAAAAUGUGGGCACAAAAGCAUCUAAGACUUGCAGCAGAGUUGAGUCUCCUACCACUUUCUGUGAGUCUGCUGAAUACUUUUCAGUAUGGGAGCAUCCUUUCCAACACACAAGUCAGGAACUGCUGAGAUACAUCACGGUGCAAGCUUGAUCCAAAAUUGAUGUUAACCAUUGACUGUCAACUGAAGACUUCUAUGUGCCACUCACUGUGCUAAGCACCAUCUCAUUUAAUCCUCACAACAGUCCUUCAAGGCUAGCUUGACUGAGAGAGUAUGAAGUUGGAGCUGUCAAUUAUCAGAAGCAAUCUGGUGGAAGGAAAUAGACUACAACAUUAAGAAAACAAGCCUUGACAGUGUAUCAUUUGAGUGCCCAAAUCCAGCUGGACCUAGAGAUGAGAGGCCAAGGAUCAGAGAAGGAAAGCGGAUUGCUCAGUACCACACAGGAGGUUCGGGCCUGAGCCUAGGGCUCAGAUAUCCCAAGCUGAGAAAGCAGUGUGCUCACAUCUCAGAGCAUGGGUUGUUCAUCCCAGCAGGACCUGCAGUAGGCCCAGCAGUGGAAAAGACCAUAGGAUGCCAGUCACCUGGGGUCCUCCCUGACUUUAUCACACCUGCAGACUUUGAAGAGCAAGGGGAAGAUCUAGAGCCAGCUCUUCGUGCUGUGAGAUGGUGCAGAUUAUUUGGUAAGGGUCAUCUGGCCCCGAGUGAGGACUACAGAAGAAAGUGUCCAUCCAAGCCCAGGAACUAGAGACAGCCUUACAGCUGUGAAAGGCCCUAUCCUCCUUUGGCUGUUUCAGGUUCUACAGAAGCCUGAUAGCUACCAAAGAUGCUGUCCUGUGCUUUCAUCUCCUGCUACUCAAAGUGUGACUCCUGGCCCAGUGGCAUCACUUAACACAUUCAGACUCUCAGGCAUCAUCCUAGCUACUAAAUCACAAUCUGCCCUAAGGAGCCCCUGAGGGUGAUUCCUCUACACGUUAGUGUUUGAAUUGUACUGUUAUACUGCACCAUUUAGCAUGAGAUAAGGAUAGAUCAUUCUAAGGCAGCACAAAUUGGCCUAGUCCAUGUAUUUGGAUGAGCUGUAAAAUAUUUGGUGUCAAAUACAGUUUUGCAAAUCAGGUCUCUUUGGAAAUUCACCAAAUAAAUUAGCUAGUUAAAACAAAAAUGUUAACAGCAAUAACAGCAAAAAAAAAAAGUGUGGCUGUCUUGCUAUAAUGUGAAACAUCACAACUUUCCUUAGGAAGCUUAUAUUUUUUCAAAUUAAAUUUACCUAAAUUGAAGCACAAAUAUUAUUUAACAUCCUGCAUUUAUUAUAGUUUGCAUGUGCUGAGCUGUUGGUAGUUAACGGAGCUGCGCUGAAAAUUUUACAUGCUUGAUGUUAUGGAAUCUUCACCCAGCCUUAGGAGAUUGCUAUUAUUCUCAUUUAGCAAAUAAGCAAAUGAAGGAACUCACAUGUGACAUCACACUGAUUUGUGCAUUUCAUCUUGCCAUUUUUUUGUUGUUUUAUAAUCCUGCCCCUACCACCUACUCUUCAGCCCCCACCCUCAUCAUCAGUACAAGGCCCUAAUGUUCAAUUCUUUGGGCCUAACACUGGAUGGCUUUUGGUGGCUUUUAAAGGCUGAUUGUUCAGUGCCGAACAUGGCCCUGGUGUCUGCUGGAAUAAGAGGCUACCACAUUCCCUACCUCGAGGUGUGCUCAAAACCAAGCUUGUCCUGGAUCUUGGUGACAUAUUCAGCCAGAUAACAUUGGAUUGUGCUUGCGAGGCAGGCGGCAGAACCACUGAGCUACAUCCCUGGC
rnacentral:lncRNA from 1 species